rnacentral:rRNA from 1 species
UACGGAGGGUGCGAGCGUUGUCCGGAUUUAUUGGGUUUAAAGGGUGCGUAGGUGGCUUUAUAAGUCAGUGGUGAAAUACAGCCGCUUAACGGUUGAGGUGCCAUUGAUACUGUAGAGCUUGAAACAAUUGGAGGCUGCCGGAAUGGAUGGUGUAGCGGUGAAAUGCAUAGAUAUCAUCCAGAACACCGAUUGCGAAGGCAGGUGGCUACGUUUGAUUUGACACUGAGGCACGAAAGCAUGGGGAGCAAACAGGAUUAGAUACCCUGGUAGUCCAUGCUGUAAACGAUGAGGACUCGCUGUUGGGCUGUCACGGUCCAGCGGCUUAGGGAAACCGUUAAGUCCUCCACCUGGGGAGUACGCCGGCAACGGUGAA